GACGAACGCUGGCGGCGUGCCUAAUACAUGCAAGUCGAACGCAGUGGGGACGGGUGAGUAACACGUGGGUAACCUCCCAUCAGAGGGGAUAACACUUGGAAACAGGUGCUAAACCGAUACUGAUGGAUGGACCCGCGGUGCAUUAGCUAGUUGGUGAGGAAACGGCUCACCAAGGCCACGAUGCAUAGCCGACCGGAGAGGGGGAGCGGACAUACUGGGACUGAGAAACGGCCCAGACUCGUACGGUAGGCAGCAGUAGGGAAGCUUCGGAAAUGGACGAAAGGCUGACCGAGCAACGCCGCGUGAGUGAAGAAGGGUUUCGGAUCGUAAAACUCUGUUGUUAGAGAAGCGGUAUCUAACCAGAAAGCCACGGCUAACUACGGGCCAGCAGCCGCGGUAAUAC
rnacentral:rRNA from 1 species